rnacentral:lncRNA from 1 species
AAAAAAAAAUGUAGAAACUGGUUAUUGCACAGAAGUAGCAUUAGAGGAAGUGAGGGGGUGGGGGAAGCCAAGUGAGUGGACAGAUGUGUGACUCCAAAGCAGGGGGAGUGUUUCAGAUGGCUCCUUAAAGUGAGAAGAAUGGGGUUUCUUCCUUAACCACCAAAGGGCAGUGGUCAGCUGACCCCAAGAUGAUGGCAUGGGAUUUGGGGAGCCCAGAAAGAGGUGGUACCUUUAUCUUGAUGUCUAAUGAGGCCAGGACCUCUCUGUAUAGAGUUAAGCUGGCCUUGAACUCAAGAUACACCUGCCUCCACGUCCCAAGUGAUCAGAUUGUAGAAGAUUCAGUGUUGCUGGAUUUAUGCUGAGAUCUUUGAUCCAUUUGCACUUAAGUUUUUGCAUGGUGUCAGCCAGAACCUAGAAGCAACAUAGAUGCCCCUCAACUGAAGAAUGGAUUGAGAAAAUGUGCAUUUAUACAAUGGAGUACUACUCAGCAGAAAAAAGCAAUGGAAUCUUGAAAUUCGCAGGCAAAUGGAUGGAACUAGAAGAAACCAUCCUGAGUGAGGUAACCCAGUCACAAGAAGACAAACAUGCGCCCUCAUCCAGUGGCUGAUGGAAGCAGAGAUAGACAUCCACAGAUAUACACUGAGCUGAAAUCGGGAAUUUAGUUGAAGAGAGGGAGGAAUGAAGAACGAAGGGAUCUGUUCCAGGUUGAAGAAACCCACAGGAAUAGUUGGCCUGAACAAGGGAGAGCACAUCGACCCCAGAUGCUGUCUGGGAGACUAGUACAAGACUGAUCCAGACCCCUGAACAUGGAUGUCAAUAAGGAGGCCUCUGCACUCCAGGAAGCCUCUGGUGGUGGAUUAGUAUUUUUCCCUGGUGCAAGAAGGGACUUUGAGAGCCCAUCCCAUGUGAAGGGUUACACUCUGGCCCUGGACACAUGGGGAAGGCCCAAGACCAGCACAGGAAGAUUUGGUGGACUUUGCAGAACCCCCGUUGAGGGCCCUACCCUGCCUGGG